rnacentral:rRNA from 1 species
UACAGAGGUCUCAAGCGUUGUUUCGGAUUCAGUUGGGCGUUAAAGGGUUGUGGUAGGUGGCGCGCUAAGUCGGGUGUGAAAUUUCGGGAGCUUAACUCCGAAACUGCAAUUCGAUACUGGCGUGCUUGAGGACUGGAGAGGAGACUGGAAUUCAUGGUGUAGCAGUGAAAUGCGUAGAGAUCAUGAGGAAGACCAGUGGCGAAGGCGGGUCUCUGGACAGUUCCUGACACUGAGACACGAAGGCCAGGGGAGCAAAACGGG